AGCGAACGCUGGCGGCAGGCCUAACACAUGCAAGUCGAACGGAUCCUUCGGGAUUAGUGGCGGACGGGUGAGUAACACGUGGGAACGUGCCCUUUGGUUCGGAACAACUCAGGGAAACUUGAGCUAAUACCGGAUGUGCCCUUCGGGGGAAAGAUUUAUCGCCAUUGGAGCGGCCCGCGUCUGAUUAGCUAGUUGGUGAGGUGAAGGCUCACCAAGGCGACGAUCAGUAGCUGGUCUGAGAGGAUGAUCAGCCGCAUUGGGACUGAGACACGGCCCAAACUCCUAUGGGAGGCAGCAGUGGGGAAUCUUGCGCAAUGGGCGAAAGCUUGACGCAGCCAUGCCGCGUGAAUGAUGAAGGUCUUAGGAUUGUAAAAUUCUUUCACCGGGGACGAUAAUGACGGUACCCGGAGAAGAAGCCCCGGCUAACUUCGUGCCAGCCGCCGCCGUAAUAC
rnacentral:rRNA from 1 species